UUUUAAACCUAUUCAAAAAACUACCAUUUACUAACUUACUCAGAAUAUACGUUAAAAUUACCAAGGCAAAAUUUGAUGAAAUAGAUAAUAGAUCAGAUAUUAAAAUUUUAAAACCUUUCCUAACCAAUAGCAAUGAGAAACUGGGGAUAGAAAUAAGAGUGAAGCUGCUGAGGCAAAAUUUCUUUGUCAAAAGAGUAGUUUCUAUGCAGCAGUCUCUUGAAAACAAAUUUGUGCCUAGAGAUGAGAGGUCCUAGAUUCAAAUCUGACCUCAGACACUUCUCAGCUAUGUGACCUUGAGCAAGUCACUUAACCCCCAUUGCCUAGCCCUUUCCACUCUUCUGCUUUAGAACCAAUACACAGUAUUGAUUCUAAGACAGACGGUAAGGGUUUAAAAAAAAUUUUUUUUAAAGAAAACAAAUUUGUGUAUGCCAACUAAGGACUCUUCUAUGAACAAAGAUCCUUGGUAAUAAGUGAACCAUGUUUUAAAAGAACAAAAAAAAAACUUCAUAAUACACAAAAUCAAGGAAACGUAAGUGCAAAAAAAAAAAAGAAAAAAAAAAAAAAAAGUAAAGAGAAGCAAAUACCCAUCUUUCACUUCACUACUUCACACUACUACUUCAGGACUAAAGCAAUCUUCAACUGUGCUAACUCAGGUCAGAUAAGGAGAAUUAGAAGAGAAGUUAAGAAUAACUUGGGGCUGAGGUCUUUUAUCACAUUCUACUUGAAAGUUUAUUCCUACUUUAACCAUACAACUUAUCUUAUCAUUCUUAUUUCAUCUCUUCUAUAGGGACUAUCAUAUUUCUCAAGUAGCCAUGUACCUUGCAAUGUCAUGUUAGAUACAGGAGACAGGCCACAUGUAUCAAACAUUCAGCCACAAAGACACAGGGCAGCCUAGUUGAUUGUUUACAAAGAAUCACAGUGUUAUGUAAUUUUAGGAAUAUAUAUGUACAUAUAUAUAACAUGCAACAAUGCUAUAUACAUCCAAAAUUUCCAAAUUCAAGAGUUUUCCUAAUUCCUUCUCUAUAAGAUUUAUCACAAAAUGAAACUGCUUUUGCCAACUUUGACAACUCCCAUUAUCUAAUGCUCAAACUAAAAGAUGACACUUUCAUUACCAAAUAGGAGUGAAAGAAAUCACCCAUAAUAUUUAUUUUUAGAUACAACUGGGGCAAAAUGAACAUUAAACAACAUAUACAAUUAGCCUGUUGAUCAUAAUCAUCUAGGGUAGAAGUUAAACCAUAUGUCUAAUUAUUUAAGAUACUAUAUUAUGUCACAUUUGUAACAGUUUUCUUCCACUCCAAUACUUUUCCUUCACACCAAGGACUACUAAAAAGUGAUCCAAAGUUCUUGCCCUUAUCUUACAGAAGUAGAAGUCUAUGUAAAAAAAGUAAAUGAAACAGGUUAGCAGGACCAACUAGAAAGACUAGAAAAUAAUUAGAUGAAAUCUUAUUCUUGCUAAACAAGAGAAUUUAUACUGUCUACUUGUCUAGUACCACACAUUCUAAGACAUGUCUUUUACCCCAACCUUAAAUGUCUAUUUUUAAUACAGCUCAUAAUUUAUUUUCUGUUCUCUAAGGUUAUCCCAACCCAACUAGCUGAAUUCCCUGCAUUUCAAUCAGCUACCACAGUCUCACCAAUUCUCACAAUCUCCCCAUUGUACUUGUACCUUUGUUUUACAAUUUCCCUCAAUUCCAUUUGGCACAUAUAGAAUUCCCAUACCUCUGGUAACUACCUCAUUCUUUCCUUAACACAAUCCAUACCAAUUUUUCCCAUCUACAUCUCAAGUCAACUUCAGUUCUAAAAACUUCUCUUUAACUGCCCCCCUCCUCUCAUUAACUGAAUUCUCUUGCACCUUACAACCUUCUUCUUUCAUCACAUCCAUUGUGUCAGCCCUUCAAUGCUCCACUCCUCACUUUCAAGUUGUCACCAAUAAAAUCCUACCUCACAUUAGUCCCA
rnacentral:lncRNA from 1 species